ACUCAUACCUUGCAGGGGAAAUAUGGUCAUGAAAGUGGUUUUCCCAGGGGGGGGGGGCUCCUCCAUUGCACUUCAGGUGUGCUGAUCCCUGUGAUUUCCCCAAACGUGGGGAACUCAACUGCAUAACUUGUGGUAGUGGGGGAUUGCAUCUGUGUUUUCCCUGG
rnacentral:snRNA from 1 species